CUCCCACCUUUCUUCAACAGUGCUUGUCUUGUUUUGCCUAGGCUUGCCCCGACGUGGUAGGAAGUCAAAAUGGAUGGCUUAUUGUUUUCAACGUUGUCCAGAUUUGGUUCAAUAUUUAUUAGUGAUUCGCCCAACAUGACUUCAAAGUGGAGAGGGACCCGGGAAGAGUUGCAGGGGAAAGAAGAGAAGAAUGUGCCUAUUUGAAAGCUAGAAAAAACAUAAACUUGCUGGGAGGGCUCAUAAGGACGACUGACUGAACCGAAUACAUUCGUCUCCACAUUUGACUCUCAGCUGCUCAACCA
ensembl:lncRNA